rnacentral:rRNA from 1 species
AUUGAACGCUGGCGGCAUGCCUUACACAUGCAAGUCGAACGGUAACAGGUUAAGCUGACGAGUGGCGAACGGGUGAGUAAUAUAUCGGAACGUGCCCAGUCGUGGGGGAUAACUGCUCGAAAGAGCAGCUAAUACCGCAUACGACCUGAGGGUGAAAGCGGGGGAUCGCAAGACCUCGCGCGAUUGGAGCGGCCGAUAUCUGAUUAGGUAGGUGGUGGGGUAAAAGCUCACCAAGCCAACGAUCUGUAGCUGGUCUGAGAGGACGACCAGCCACACUGGGACUGAGACACGGCCCAGACUCCUACGGGAGGCAGCAGUGGGGAAUUUUGGACAAUGGGCGCAAGCCUGAUCCAGCCAUGCUGCGUGCGGGAAGAAGGCCUUCGGGUUGUAAACCGCUUUUGUCAGGGAAGAAAAGGUUCUGGUUAAUACCUGGGACUCAUGACGGUACCUGAAGAAUAAGCACCGGCUAACUACGUGCCAGCCGCCGCAGUAACAC